AGUGAACGCUGGCGGCGUGCUUAACACAUGCAAGUCGAACGAGAACGGAUUAUAGCUUGCUAUAUCGUCAGCUAAGUGGCGCACGGGUGAGUAAUGUAUAGGUAAUAUGCCUCUUACUAAGGGAUAACAAAUGGAAACGUUUGCUAAUACCUUAUACUCCUUAUUAACAUAAGUUAAUAAGGGAAAGAUUUAUUGGUAAGAGAUUAGCCUGUAUUGUAUCAGCUAGUUGGUGGGGUAAUGGCUUACCAAGACUAUGACACAUAACUGGUUUGAGAGGAUGAUCAGUCACACUGGAACUGAGACACGGUCCAGACUCCUACGGGAGGCAGCAGUGGGGAAUAUUGCACAAUGGACGAAAGUCUGAUGCAGCAACGCCGCGUGGAGGAUGACACAUUUCGGUGCGUAAACUCCUUUUAUAUGAGAAGAUAAUGACGGUAUUAUAUGAAUAAGCACCGGCUAACUCCGUGCCAGCCGCCGCUGUAA
rnacentral:rRNA from 1 species